rnacentral:rRNA from 1 species
UACGUAGGGUCCGAGCGUUGUCCGGAAUUAUUGGGCGUAAAGGGCUCGUAGGCGGUCUGUUGCGUCGGGAGUGAAAACUUACAGCUUAACUGUGAGCGUGCUUCCGAUACGGGCAGACUUGAGGUAUUCAGGGGAGAACGGAAUUCCUGGUGUAGCGGUGAAAUGCGCAGAUAUCAGGAGGAACACCGGUGGCGAAGGCGGCCCCCCUGGUUGGAUACUGACGCUGAUACGCGAAAGCGUGGGGAGCAAACAGG